AUUGAACGCUGGCGGCAGGCCUAACACAUGCAAGUCGAGCGGAUGAAGGGAGCUUGCUCCUGGAUUCAGCGGCGGACGGGUGAGUAAUGCCUAGGAAUCUGCCUGGGAGUGGGGGAUAACGUCCGGAAACGGGCGCUAAUACCGCAUACGUCCUGAGGGAGAAAGUGGGGGAUCUUCGGAUCUCACGCUAUCAGAUGAGCCUAGGUCGGAUUAGCUAGUUGGUGGGGUAAAGGCCUACCAAGGCGACGAUCCGUAACUGGUCUGAGAGGAUGAUCAGUCACACUGGAACUGAGACACGGUCCAGACUCCUACGGGAGGCAGCAGUGGGGAAUAUUGGACAAUGGGCGAAAGCCUGAUCCAGCCAUGCCGCGUGUGUGAAGAAGGUCUUCGGAUUGUAAAGCACUUUAAGUUGGGAGGAAGGGCAGUAAGUUAAUACCUUGCUGUUUUGACGUUACCAACAGAAUAAGCACCGGCUAACUUCGUG
rnacentral:rRNA from 1 species